AGCAACUUUGUAGAAAACAGGCUAACGCGUUAAUGUCUCGCCUUUCUUGACGACUCCAGGACAACCACAGCCAAUGUCAGCGAUUGAAACCAAUCAACUCCUGCUGCUCUAGGCUGUGAGGACCUCCUUAAGACCAUGGAUCCUCCCCAACUAGACCAGCAGCUCUUGGGGAGAUGGUCCUCGUCGCAGGAAGCCUGAGCCACCCUGCAUCUCUGGAGGCUCUCGACCAGAGGAGGCGAUGGAUGAGUACAGGCGACAGGUGGAGUGCCUGGGGCUGCUUCCGCCAGUGGUGAUGGAGCCUGGGAAUGCCCUCUGUGGAUAUUCUGUCUUUCGUCUUAUCUGGAGAGAUAAAAGAUCGAUCAGUGUGAUCAGAGAGACUACCGAUGAUCAGAGAGUGGGGGCAGUGAGACAAAUGUAUACACUUUUUCUGUCAUCUGUUUUGUAAUACAACAAUUCUGUGUUUACUGUUUCUCGAUGUGCUGUAAAUUUGUAAUAAAAAUGUAUGAUUUAUCAUAUCAAAAUAUAUAUAUAUAUAUUUAAAGGCAUAGCGCGCAUUUCAUAGGAUAAUAUUUUACACUAACGUCAUGUAAAGCAUCUGACGCCCAUGGGUGUUGGCUACAGAUACUCUACCAGUGAAAUUUUCACAUGCAUUGUGCAUUCACAUUUUAUUAUGAUUAACCACUACUACUACUACCAAAGGUCUCUGUUGUCUAGUAUCUUACAUUUAGCCUCGUUGAUCUGCAUAUAAUUAUAUAUAUUUUUUAUGAUGGACAUAAUGUAGUUAUGAAUGCAUAUUAGGUUACACUAGACUUAAGUCAUUUUAAUACAUUCACACAAGGUGUUUUGUGUAAAACAAAGGUUGUAGAAUAUAAAAAUGUUUCUGUAACCUUUUGCUGUUGAACAUUGACCAUCUGGAGUCAGGUUGUGCAGAUCAUAGGCUGACCUUAUGAGCUCCACACCUGUAUUUCUUAUCGGCAUGCACAAGAAAAUGACGGUGGCAGAAGUUCAAGUUUGGAUAAAUUCUCUGAAUUUUAUUACACAUUCUCCCCGUCCCGUGUCUAGUAUUAGACUGUUGUACUUGUCUUUCUGGCACUAACACUCCCAUUUGUCCUUUCUUACUAGCACUGAUUUAGCUGAUAUCUGGUUUAUUGAGGAAAUACCCGCAAUGACUGUAAUAUGUGAUUGCUGUAUCUACCUUAGUUGACUAUACUGACUGUAAGUAACUCUUGAUAAGAGCAUCUGCUAGCUAACGGACCAACAUGUACAAUGUAAAUAAGAAACACCGAAAUGACAAACAACAAGAGAAAGGUAGAAUGUCACCAUGCUUGCCCUUUGUCUACAUAACAUUUUCAAAUGAGGUGAAUGAGAUAUAUUAAUCGUUGGUGGCCAUUGCGAAUAAAUAUAAUUGCAUAUUUGGUUAAGUACAGUUUAGAUUUUAUUUUCGCCCAGAUAAUACACAACUGUAGCAAUACAGACCAAAACAAACACUUAGAAAUGAAGAAAAAAACGCUUGAAAAUAUAAAGUGCAUUUCAAACAAGUCAUCAUAAUCAUGAUUAGGAUGUGCAUUUUCUGCCAUCGUUAACAUAUAAAACAGAUCUCUAUAUACCACGGAAUUCCUCCAUGCAAAGUUUUGAGUAAAAUAUGCCUGCAAAAAACCUCACAUACAAAUAAACAAGAGUUUAUUAUUCAAAA